GCGAGUUGGAGCGCCCCUGGGAGGGGCUGGGGCUCGGGGGCGCGCGCAGAAGGGGCGGGGCGCCGGGAGGGAGGGACGGCGCCGCGCCCCGGGGAAGCCGGCGGACCCGGGUCCUACGGCGGCGGGACUCAGGACCCGGGGACGGCGACAGUUCGCAGGCGUUCGUGGGCUCGCCGCCCACCCACUAGGGUCCUUGUGCUUUCCCAGAAAUGAGGGAGGGAUCCCCGGGACCGCAGGUACCGUCGCCCCUCAGGGGCUAGAGAGCCAGCCUCGAUGACCUGAAUUCAGACCUGCCUUGGACACUCACUAACUGUUUGACCCCCGGAAAGUCACUCAAUCCCGCUCACCCUUAGCUUCCUCACCUUACGAGCUCCCCGGAAUCCGAUGACCCUGGUCUUGGGGCCCGUCUGCCCUCCGAGCCCUUGCACUGGCUGUCCCCCAACGCCUGGAAAACACUCUCCUUGCUAACUUCCCUGGCUCCCUUCAAGUCUCAACCCAAGAAGACUUUCCCAGUCCCCUUUAACCCUAGUGCCUUCCCUCUGAGAUCACCUCCCUGGCCUGCAGACCUCCAGAGAUCACCUCCAUUACCUUGCAUUACAUAUUACCUCACUUAAUCGUCACAAACAACCCUAGGGGGUCGGGGCUAUUAUUAUUUAUCCCCAUUUUACAAUCCACAAGUGCCUGCCUAGUUGCACCAGGUACUGUGGGCUGAGAAAGGCAAACACACCAGCCCUACCUUCGAAGAAGAGAAGACGC
rnacentral:lncRNA from 1 species